rnacentral:rRNA from 1 species
GUAAUGGCGAACGAACAGGGAUCAGCUUGGGUUGGAAACCGNGGCUUCUGCCUUGGAUUGUGGCCUUUAGACAUACUACCAACGGCGGCGCGAGCGUAAGCCUCUUGGAACAGAGCGUCUACGUGGGUGAGAAUCCUGUGUUUCGCUUGAUGCCCGCCGUGCACGGUACUUGCUCUCAGAGUCACGCUCCUCGGAAUUGGAGCGUAAAUUGGGUGGUAAAUUUCAUCUAAAGCUAAAUACAGGCUCGAGACCGAUAGCAAACAAGUACCAUGAGGGAAAGAUGAAAAGGACUUUGAAAAGAGAGUUAAAAGUGCUUGAAAUCGCUGAACUGGAAGCGAAUGGAACUAGUGCUCUGGUUGAGAUUGCUGCAAGUGGCUGUGACAUCUGGGCUCUGGAACGCAAGUCCUUUGUCUGGUUUGAAGUAGUUGCUUGCAAUGUGUCUCAGCUUGAACGUCAACUUCUAUGCAUACGUGAGGAUGGCCCUUGGCUCAUGCUGUGUUGCUGUGGCGAUACUCUUGUGCUUCUGGGGAUUCAGGUGUGUGUGGAUUGUUGAUCAAUUAGUUCCAUUCGACCCGUCUUGAAACACGGACCAAGGAGUCUAGCACUUGUGCAAGUUCUCAGGUGUCAAACCUCUGUGCGCAAUGAAGGUGACUGCUGGGAUUUUUUGCACCAGCAACCGACCAAUCAAUUGGGAGAAGUUUGAGUAAGAGCAUGUGUGUUAGGACCCGAAA